UGGUGGAGUGAUUUGUCUGGUUAAUUCCGAUAACGAACGAGACCUUAACCUGCUAAAUAGUUGGAUUAACUCUGGUUGAUUGCAACUUCUUAGAGGGACUAUGGAUGUUUAAUCCAUGGAAGUUUGAGGCAAUAACA
rnacentral:rRNA from 1 species